UACGUAGGAUGCAAGCGUUGUCCGGAUUUACUGGGCGUAAAGGGCGCGCAGGCGGCACUACAAGUACUGGGUGAAAUCUCCCGCUUAACUGGGAGGGUGCGCCGGAAACUGGAGUGCUCGAGCGUGGGAGAGGAAAGCGGAAUUCCUGGUGUAGCGGUGAAAUGCGUAGAUAUCAGGAGGAACACCUGCGGUGUAGACGGCUUUCUGGACCAUUGCUGACGCUGAGACACGAAAGCGUGGGUAGCAAACAGG
rnacentral:rRNA from 1 species